rnacentral:rRNA from 1 species
AGUGAACGCUGGCGGUAGGCCUAACACAUGCAAGUCGAACGGCAGCACAGUAAGAGCUUGCUCUUACGGGUGGCGAGUGGCGGACGGGUGAGGAAUACAUCGGAAUCUACUUUUUCGUGGGGGAUAACGUAGGGAAACUUACGCUAAUACCGCAUACGACCUACGGGUGAAAGCAGGGGAUCUUCGGACCUUGCGCGAUUGAAUGAGCCGAUGUCGGAUUAGCUAGUUGGCGGGGUAAAGGCCCACCAAGGCGACGAUCCGUAGCUGGUCUGAGAGGAUGGUCAGCCACACUGGAAGUGGGACACGGUCCAGACUCCUACGGGAGGCAGCAGUGGGGAAUAUUGGACAAUGGGCGCAAGCCUGAUCCAGCCAUACCGCGUGGGUGAAGAAGGCCUUCGGGUUGUAAAGCCCUUUUGUUGGGAAAGAAAAGCAGCAGGUUAAUACCCCGCUGUUCUGACGGUACCCAAAGAAUAAGCACCGGCUAACUUCGUG